ACUGUUUGUUUGCUGAAGCUGCUGGAGAGGUUGGUUACCACAGCCUUGCUAUAUUGUUCACAUACCAGAUGAUUUCAGCAACUGUCCAGAGGAGCACAUGCGUCAAAGAUAGGAGGGAAAGAACAUGCAGUGAGGAUAAGAGGAACUAACCUGGCAGGCCCAGAAAAAAGAGACUUCAUUUGAACCACAGCUGUGAAUAUUUGAGGGCCUGAUUGUGUCUAUGGAUACUAAUUUGUUCAAGGAAGACAAGGAAGAUGGUGAGCUGCAACCCCGACCCUUUUCGCAUCGAUCAGACAAGAUAGACCCUCCUGAAAAGCAGUGCUCCUGAGGAAAAAGAAACGAAACUGCUUCCGAUGAACACCACCAGUAUCGGGAAAGGCAGUUAAGAUAUGUGAAGAAUGCUGCUUCUUUCUUUGCCACAGUGGCAGAGUAUUUCUCUAAAGAGCACCCCAGCUAUGAUAGUUCAUGGUCUCCAAAGAGCUGUAACUUAAAAGCACACGAAAGAGAUGGGAUCCACAUCAUGGAAAGAGGUCAUUAACAGACCUUUGAGAUCACACCCUGAAAAAGGAUGUAUUAAUGUAAAUGCAUUUAGGUAGCAAUGUUGCUGUUGUGUGUUUUUCUUUUCCAAAAUAUCACUGCAGACAAAAGUAUCUUCUUCACACACAUAUAUAUAUAUAAAGGGAGUUCUCAGAGACUGGACCAUCACACGGCCACUUUCAAAGAAACACACUGAAGCAAUAAGCAUAUCCUGAG
ensembl:lncRNA